UUAUUAAGCACUUGCCAUACACUAGGGACUUGUAUAGAUGUUGGAGAUUCAAACAAUAAGACUAUCCUCUUCAUGUUGCUUAUAUCCUUAUAUAUGUUGACCCUUGAACAACAUGGGUUUGCACUGUAUGGGCCCACUUAUAUGCUGAUUUUUUAUAGUAUGGUACUGUAAAUAUUUUCUUACAGUACUGUAAAUAUUUUCUUUACUGUAAGAAUGCAGUAUAUAAUACAUAUACAAAAUAUGUGUUAAUUGACUUUAUGUCAUUGGUAAGGCUUCCAGUUAACAGCAGGCUAUUAAGGGUUUUUUUUGGGGGGGGUCAAAAAUACAUGCAGAUUUUUUACAACAUGGGGUCAGCACCCCCAGACCCUGUGUUGUUCAAAGGUCAACUGUAUAGUGAAGGCACUGACUUUAUACAUUAAUUAAUAUAUUGUGAUAAGUGCUUUGCAAUAUGUAUGAGUCAUAGUUUCUGAAGUUCUGAAGAGGAAUGAACUUAACACUGCCUGCAGAGUCUGGAGGCUUCAUAAACCUGGUUUCCCUGGAGGUGCAUUUUGUACUUAUGUACUUAUGAAAGUUCACAGAAUUCUCGGGGAAUGGUGUCUCCCUCUAGGUGGAGUAUGGAGUGAACAGUGGGGUAUAGAGGCUGGAAGGCAGCCUUUGACCUCAAAGUUAUAGUACACAAGACUUGAAAUUGCACGCUAAGAAAAUCAGGAUGAAGGCUAUAGGCAAGGGCAGGAGAAUCCCCACCCUCAUUUAUAUGUUUUCAGUAACUUCCAGUAAUGUCAAAGAUGGACUUGGGAAUCACAAUCAAGUUUCUUUCCUCUCCUCCAACCCAUAUUUGACCUUCUAGUCCACUCUAACGGACAUAACUUUUAGUGGAGCAGCCUAAAACCGUUGGAGACUGGCUUAAGGAACACUUUAAUAGGUGGGAAAAUAGUAAGAUUAAACCAGGGACUUCUCAGUGACAAGAGAGGCAAAUACAGAUGGGAAGAUUUCAGGGAUAGCAUGGGAAAUGUUACUCCAUGUUACCUUCACUCUGUACUAUUAUGUCAUCUCAGAUAGUGCUUGAUAAGUGAGGUUUUCUCUGACUCACCCUGGCAAAUGGCAGCUGUCCCCUAAACUACCAAAUGCACACGUUCAUUUGUGUGCCCGUUUAGCUGCCAGCUUUAAUAUCUUUCCAUCUUUGUAUUCCUUUAGCCUUGUUCCUUUAGCACACCGCAAAAAGGUGCUGGGGUUACUGAAUGAAUAGAAAAUAGAUUCAUAAGUGACUGGAUUACAGGCCAUCUGGCGGCAAAAGCACUACUAUUAAAGGUCCAAUGAUAAGAUACUACACUGAUUACCAUUCGACCUAACCAUUCAUAGCACCUUAAAAAAAAUUUUUUUUUAUUACGCUGUAAAGCUCCCCUUCCCACAAGUAGGCACAGAGCGUAGAGUACCGGCUUCAAAAUAAUUUUUUUUUUCUUAGCUGAUUUUAACAAGGAUCUUUGUGCAAGUAUCUAUGUUCUAAGAAGAUGUCAGUCCAGAAAAUGGGGGUUUCGGUUUCCAUGUCAGCAGACAGCAAACCCAAUUCAAGUCUCUAAACCCCAAUUGCCGGCCAACGCGCCGGAACCAAAGCGUUGGCGCUUCAAUUUCCGGGCGGAGGCGCAGUAUGUCGCAAUGGGUUGAUUGCUUUGGCCUGGCGGAAGUCUAUCAGGAGAGGACCGCGGCCGCGAGGACCGUGGAAACGCAAGGAGCGUGUGAUGUCCUCGUCGCCCGAGAGCUUGAGCUGCUGAGUUUCGGGAGGCCACGCUGGCCCUGUUGGGACGACCAAGCGGGUCGGAGAGUUCAGUCGUGUUUGCACACGCGCUGAUCGAGUCCCCUUGUUGGUGAUGGAGAAGUGAGAGCAGAGAGACCGGAGGUAACCCUGCUUGUCAGUGGCAGUUACAACUCUAGAUGUUUGUGUGUCUGUUUUCAGUAUCCUCUCAGGACACAGUGCUUCCCAGACUCUGUCCCACGUCCACAAUUUAUGAUUCAUGUUGAAACCUAAUCCUCAUGAUACUGUUUGGAGGUGGGGCCUUCGAGAGAGGAUUACAUCAUGAUAAUGGAACCAUCAUGAAUGGGAUCAUUGCCCUUAUAAAAGAGGCCCCACAGAGCUCUGUGACCCUUCCUGACAUGUGAGGUUAUAGCCAGAAGACUAAACAAGGAAGGGGGGCUCUUAACACUGAAUUUCUUCCCACCUUGAUCUCGGACUUCAGCUUUUAAAACUGGCAUCUCUUUCCUUCUUACUGUGGUCAACACUGAAAAAGGAGGAAGUGACUGUUGGGUGGGCAGCUGACAGUGCCUGCUCCUUGUGUGAUAACGGUUCUUCACGAGACCCUCUGCACUCAGAUAACAUCACCGAGGAAGACGCUGUACAACAGCUGGUGCAGUUGCCAUCCUGAGAAGGAGCAAACCGGGCAGGAGUUGCUUUCUUCCGAUAAAGAAGCACAAAGGCAGAAUAAUCCAAAGAUCCAGACCAGAAGUCUUGUGAUGGUUUCUUAGGGAAGAGACUGCCCCCCGGGGCGGCGCUCCGGGCCUCUCCCGUCUCCCUGCCGCUCCCGGCUCUCGGUAGAAUUUAGCAGAUUCAUCACUGUGCUCCAUCCCAGCUCUGCUAUUUUUAGCUCUGUUGACUUCCCAACUAUAGGCAGACAACCAUCCUGUAGGCUAAGCACCUGGCAGGUGGGCAAGGGCGCCCCGGCAGAAGGAGAGGACGGCUCGCCCGGGGGAAGGAGGGCCUGGAGUCUCAGGCAGGAAGGAUUUAGAGAAGCCGAGAUCAAGCCUGCGGGCCCCCCCCACCCCCCUGGGGGACUCCAGGCUGGUGACCCCAGGGGCCCGGAUGACCCCUCCUGUCCUCCAGCCCGCGCCAGGCCGGCCCGCCGCGCCUUGGAAGUCGCUGCUCUUCUGCGCGCUCCCCUCCACCCCCCACCCUCAGGACCCACCUUCACGGCCACCACCGCGGCCCCACCACAGCCACGGCCACUCUCCAGCCUUUCCUCUGGCUGGAGCUCUUGUCACACCACUUAGGUUCAUCUGAAGUUUGACAAGAAGGCGGCGGAGUUUGCUUGUUGAUGGACAUCCCACCCCCACCCCCACCCCCACCGUGGGCUCUGACCCACGUCCGCCGGGAGGAGAACCUUGCGGGUCUCCGCCUGGAACGCCGCUGUGUGUCCGUGACUUUCAGUAAAUAAAUCGCGCCAUCAGGGGCCAGACGGAUCCUCGCCCUCCCCUCACCCGUGAAGCUGCUGUGGUGGCAGCUGGACCGCUGCUCCCUCAGGUCCCCGGUGAGUGCCUUUCACUCUGGCCAUCCCGGCCCAUCACCGGCGUCACUGCCCCGAAGCGCGAAGCGCGCGUCCAGCUCACCUCGCCGCUGCCGCUUUCACUCUGGUUCUUGCCUUCAGUCUGUCCGCGGGGGAGUCGCCUUAGAGCCUCAGCCUGUUUCUGGGAGUCUCAACUGUGCUUUUUUCGUUAAAAAAAGAAAAAAGAAAAAAAAUGGGGGGGGGGCAGCUUUAUUGAGGUAGAAUCGACAAAUAGAAAUUGUAUAUAUUACUUUGUACAAUGU